ACUUCGUUACGGAGGUAUUAAGAGAAAUCUCAACCAAUCAGAGCUCGAGUAUGCCGGUGGAGCGGCCGCGGUAGCGAAGGCUACGCGCUGAGCGGUCGCGCUCGUGCGUCCUUCGCUGCACGUCGAGUCACUUGUUCGCGUACGAGCGCGACCGUUCAGCGCGUAGCCAUCGCUACCGCGGUCGCUCCAACGGUAUCCGCGCGCUCUGAUUGGUCGAUGUUUUCUCUUAAUAUCUCUUUAACGAAGCCUCGGACAACAUUUUCGCUAAGGAAAAAGUUGUUUGAAAUCAUCCCCCGAACCACCUCGUCCAAGGAAUUCCAACAAUUUCGGGACACUGUAUAUCGAGUGCUUUUCAUCGGACCUAAAAAACUUAAUUUCUAAACGUCAGUAUCCCUCUUGACGAGAAGUCGUGGAACCGAAGAUGAUUACGUCGGAAGGAAGAAGUCGGAAAAAGAAGAGAUGAAGAGGCGCGCAGAAGGGCCCGCCAGACUGAUCCUGAACCCUCGAUCGUUUUUCGGACGACUGAGCCACUUCGUUCCAUCGACAGAGCCUUUUAUACCUUCUUGUGGUAGCCUUCCGCGGCGUUCUAUCGCACGUGGGAUCUCCUUUUGAUGGAAGUCUUUACUGUACUACUACGAAGAGUCUCGUAUUAUUUACGAAACAUAUAUUUCUCGAAAUAACGUAUCAACGUUCACUCUUCCGAGUCAUACGAUAGGUUUUUAGUUCGCAGCUUGGAAUCUCCUUUCGAUCGAAGUCAAACUUACUGUACUCCUACGAAGCAUUUCGUAUUAUCUACGAAACAUAUAUUUCUAGAAGUAACAUAUCAAAAUUCACUCUUCCGACUCGUACGAGAGGUUUUUAAUUCGCAGCUUCACCAAACAUCAAAGAAAUGAAACAUAAAGGUGAAUUCUACAAGAAAAUUCGAGAUUUAAUCCAAUAUAAAAUUCACGA